UGCCAGACUCCUACGGGAGGCAGCAGUAGGGAAUUUUGCGCAAUGGGGGAAACCCUGACGCAGCAACACCGCGUGAAUGUUAAGCCCUUCGGGGUGUAAAGUUCUGUCAAUAGGGACGAAUUUUGACUGUACCUAUAAAGGAAGCACCGGCUAACUCCGUGCCAGCAGCCGCGGUAAUACGGAGGAUGCGAGCGUUAUCCGGAUUUAUUGGGUUUAAAGGGUGCGUAGGCGGUCCGUUAAGUCAGCGGUAAAAUGGCGGGGCUCAACCCCGGCGAGCCGUUGAAACUGGCAGACUUGAGUUGGCGAGAAGUACGCGGAAUGCGCGGUGUAGCGGUGAAAUGCAUAGAUAUCGCGCAGAACUCCGAUUGCGAAGGCAGCGUACCGGCGCCAGACUGACGCUGAGGCACGAAAGCGUGGGGAUCGAACAGGAUUAGAUACCCGCGUA
rnacentral:rRNA from 1 species